GGUGAACGCUGGCAGCGUGCCUAAUACAUGCAAGUCGAGCGAACAGACGAGGAGCUUGCUCCUCUGACGUUAGCGGCGGACGGGUGAGUAACACGUGGAUAACCUACCUAUAAGACUGGGAUAACUUCGGGAAACCGGAGCUAAUACCGGAUAAUAUAUUGAACCGCAUGGUUCAAUAGUGAAAGACGGUUUUGCUGUCACUUAUAGAUGGAUCCGCGCCGCAUUAGCUAGUUGGUAAGGUAACGGCUUACCAAGGCAACGAUGCGUAGCCGACCUGAGAGGGUGAUCGGCCACACUGGAACUGAGACACGGUCCAGACUCCUACGGGAGGCAGCAGUAGGGAAUCUUCCGCAAUGGGCGAAAGCCUGACGGAGCAACGCCGCGUGAGUGAUGAAGGUCUUCGGAUCGUAAAACUCUGUUAUUAGGGAAGAACAAAUGUGUAAGUAACUAUGCACGUCUUGACGGUACCUAAUCAGAAAGCCGCGGCUAACUACGUG
rnacentral:rRNA from 1 species